AUCCAGCUGACUAGUCCUAAAUAGGACGAAAUGCGCAUCCUGGAU
rnacentral:hammerhead_ribozyme from 1 species